rnacentral:pre_miRNA from 1 species
GCUGCUGUUGGGUAGGGGGAGAGAGGUGUGUUACCUUAUCAGCUGCUUCCUCUCCCAUCCUCUCCUUCUGCAGAAGC